rnacentral:rRNA from 1 species
CCUACGGGUGGCAGCAGUGAGGAAUAUUGGUCAAUGGGCGUAAGCCUGAACCAGCCAAGUCGCGUGAGGGAUGAAGGUUCUAUGGAUCGUAACCCUCUUUUAUAAGGGACUCAAGUGUGGGACGUGUCCUAUUUUGUAUGUACCUUAUGAAUAAGUAUAGGCUAACGCCGUGCCAGCAGCCGCGGUAAUACGGAGGAUCCGAGCUUUAUCCGGAUUUAUUGGGUUGAAAGGGUGCGUAGGCGUCCUUUUAAGUUAGCGGUGAAAGUCUGUGGCUCAAACAUAGAAUUGCCAUUGAGACUGGGGGGCUUGAGUAUGUUUGAGGCAGGCGGAAUGCGUGGUGUAGCGGUGAAAGGCUGAGAUCUCACGCAGAACCCCGAUUGCGAAGGCAGCCUGCCAAGCCAUGACUGACGCUGAUGCACGAAAGCGUGGGGAUCAAACAGGAUUAGAUACCCUGGUAGUC